ACGCCGCGCCGCCGGUCGCCGCGCUGCUGCCCGCGCGCCCUACACAUCUACUGGUGCUCGCCGGUCAACAUCUUUAUGUGUGGAGGUGCCCAAUGUUAGAGCACGAGAAUACAAAAUGCUGACUGAAAUUGGCCAAGCUCUUUAGUGCAACAAAAUGUAAAACAAGAAAAUUUAAAUUGUUUAUUCGCGUGGCCAUCGAGAUCCGUGCCGUUCGGGGCGCACGGGGCGGUCGCAGCACACACCGCACACACACCGCCAUGGCGUCGCGCUCGACCGGCGUGAGGGGUAUCGCACGGUUUUUAAUUGCUUCCAUGGAGGGACGGGGCGAUGCGAGGGCGAUGCGUCGAAGUUCGAACAACGCAGCGGCGCCGGCGGGGCCGUCUAGGCCGUCGCGCACAGCCUGCCGCGACGGCCAGGCGCCGGAGUGCGAGCCUUGCCAAGCGCCCGCACAGCCCGC